GAGAGUGUCCCACAGAGAGAAAGGAAACAAGUUAACGAGGUGGAUGAAGAUGGAGGUUCUGACCUCUUCUCCCCCAAAAGGAGACUGGAGCCCCUCAGUGAGGAUGGGAGUUCAGGUGUAGAUGAUCAGAGUCC